GACGAACGCUGGCGGCGUGCUUAACACAUGCAAGUCGAACGGAAAGGCCCUGCUUUUGUGGGGUGCUCGAGUGGCGAACGGGUGAGUAACACGUGAGUAACCUGCCCUUGACUUUGGGAUAACUUCAGGAAACUGGGGCUAAUACCGGAUAGGAGCUCCUGCUGCAUGGUGGGGGUUGGAAAGUUUCGGCGGUUGGGGAUGGACUCGCGGCUUAUCAGCUUGUUGGUGGGGUAGUGGCUUACCAAGGCUUUGACGGGUAGCCGGCCUGAGAGGGUGACCGGCCACAUUGGGACUGAGAUACGGCCCAGACUCCUACGGGAGGCAGCAGUGGGGAAUAUUGCACAAUGGGCGGAAGCCUGAUGCAGCAACGCCGCGUGCGGGAUGACGGCCUUCGGGUUGUAAACCGCUUUCGCCUGUGACGAAGCGUGAGUGACGGUAAUGGGUAAAGAAGCACCGGCUAACUACGUGCCAGCAGCCGCGGUGAUACGUAGGGUGCGAGCGUUGUCCGGAUUUAUUGGGCGUAAAGGGCUCGUAGGUGGUUGAUCGCGUCGGAAGUGUAAUCUUGGGGCUUAACCCUGAGCGUGCUUUCGAUACGGGUUGACUUGAGGAAAGUAGGGGAGAAAUGGAAUUCCUGGUGGAGCGGUGGAAUGCGCAGAUAUCAGGAGGAACACCAGUGGCGAAGGCGGGUCUCUGGGCCUUUCCUGACGCUGAGGAGCGAAAGCGUGGGGAGCGAACAGGCUUAGAUCCCCUGGUAGUCCACGCUGUAAACGGUGGGUACUAGGUGUGGGGUCCAUUCCACGGGUUCCGUGCCGUAGCUAACGCUUUAAGUACCCCGCCUGGGGAGUACGGCCGCAAGGCUAAAACUCAAAGGAAUUGACGGGGCCCCGCACAAGCGGCGGAGCAUGCGGAUUAAUUCGAUGCAACGCGUAGAACCUUACCUGGGUUUGACAUGGAUCGGAAGCGCUCAGAGAUGGGUGUGCCUCUUUUGGGGUCGGUUCACAGGUGGUGCAUGGCUGUCGUCAGCUCGUGUCGUGAGAUGUUGGGUUAAGUCCCGCAACGAGCGCAACCCUUGUUCACUGUUGCCAGCACGUUAUGGUGGGGACUCAGUGGAGACCGCCGGGGUCAACUCGGAGGAAGGUGGGGAUGACGUCAAGUCAUCAUGCCCCUUAUGUCCAGGGCUUCACGCAUGCUACAAUGGCUGGUACAGAGAGUGGCGAGCCUGUGAGGGUGAGCGAAUCUCGGAAAGCCGGUCUCAGUUCGGAUUGGGGUCUGCAACUCGACCUCAUGAAGUCGGAGUCGCUAGUAAUCGCAGAUCAGCAACGCUGCGGUGAAUACGUUCCCGGG
rnacentral:rRNA from 1 species